rfam:Aspergillus versicolor CBS 583.65 unplaced genomic scaffold ASPVEscaffold_3, whole genome shotgun sequence.
GUUUCCAUAGUCUAGUGGUUAGGACGGCGGUCUCAUAGUCUGACGAUUCCUCUCAAGGAGUUGCAAUCCGCAAGCACGAGUUCGAUUCUCGUUGGAAGCA